rnacentral:tRNA from 1 species
GCCCUUGGUGCUGGCCGAAGUACGAUCGGCCCUGGAUCGAACUCCUAAAGCAGGUGUCACAGGUUCGAAUCCUGCCGGGGGCACCA